rnacentral:lncRNA from 1 species
UUCUAUAUGUUUCUAUGCCAUAUUGCCACUCUUUUUCUUCUGUCUCUUUUGAUUUUAAGUCAUGCUGCACAUUUUUUUCACUUAGGCUGAUGUGACCGUAAAGCUACACCUGUAACUAAAGAUGGACAAAAAUUCAGUAAUGUUCAUACAGAAAAUCAUGGAUGCACACCAUCUAUUCAGUUUGUAAAAGCAAAGUAAGAGUGCAUUUUAUUUAGCUUUAUUUGGUAAUCAGCAAAAUAAUAGAAUAUGUUGGUGCCAUCAAUCAUUAAUUCCCAUUAAUGUCAUUUGUUAACUCCCAGAUCUGCGCUUGCUAAGCAACGCUUUUUUCUUUCCAAGCAUGUGCACUGAGUACCCAUGCUGGAAAUAGAAGAUUCCUCCUCUGGUUAGUGUUCUUCUUUCAAUAUUUUAUUUGGUUAUAUUUUUCCUUUUUAGGAUCAGAUAUGUUGGUCAGGUUUUUUGUUUCUUUGGAGGCAUUUGUAGAUAUGUCAGUUUCAGCUGUAGCAUUGCAAGCUAAUCUUCCUGUUUGUAUAUUUUAUUUGCAGGGUAUUGUGUUACAACUAAGAGUGCAACCGACAUGAAUGGUAAAUAUUGAACUUGUUUGCACAUGUCCACCUACCCAUGUCUUUUUAAUGUUGUCAAUUCUUGCAGUCUCAGUUAUCUUUUUAACAUGUCAUUUUGUUCAACCUAAUGAGCUCAUAAGUGUGACAACCUUACCCUAUGAUAGUUCUUAAGCCCCCUCAUGGUAAAAAGAGUGAACUGUAACUAGAGAUAUAUGCUUUAGCACCUGACCCAAUUAAUUAUAUCAACCAUUAUAUCUUUGUGCAGCACUACAAACAACACGAACUCAGGAAACAUUUCAGGACAAGUGGAAUAAUGCCACUAAGAAAAAAUAUGUAUCAAAGUACUAUGCAUCCUAUAUAUCAAGGACAAGGAGAGGAGGAUGGCAGCCGAGGAUAGGAGGGCGGUGACGGAGGAGAAGAAGGCGGAGGUUGAGGAGAGGAAUGUGGUCAUGGAAGAGAGAAUCAAAAGCAUUAAACGAGAGCAAAAGUUCAUGUUCAUGGAUACAAGUGGUCUUGAUGACAAGGCGAAAGCAUACGUGGAGCUUUAUCGUGAUCAAGUGUUGCGAUGAGGUCUAUGGGAGGCUUCAUGAUGGGAGGAUUCAUGGGAGGCAUGGGAGGAGCCAUGGGCAGCAUGGGAGGAUUCAUAGGUGCCAUGGGCGCCAUGGGAGGAGGCAUGGGUGGUGCAAUGGAUGGGAAUGAAAAACAAUGGGUGGUGCAUUGGAGAAGAAGCAAUCAAUGGAGAGGAAGCAAGCCAUGAAGACGAUGCAAGCACAACUAAUGGCAAUGGAGGCAAUGCCAUUUGAGAGGCUAUGCAUUCAUUUUGUAUGCACUUUUGUUUUUGUUUGCGAUGCACAAUGAUUGUGGUUUGAAUUUGAAUUUAAUAUACAGAUGAUUGAACUUGAAUUUGAUAUGUUGAUUAUCAUCUUGCAAAGUUUUAAUCAUGCCGUCAUGUUUUGUUUCAAUAUGUAUGCAAUUGCGAAGUGAAAAGAAAGAAGGCCAAAAUUUUAGGGCACCAAAUUG